UACGUAGGGUGCGAGCGUUGUCCGGAAUUAUUGGGCGUAAAGAGCUUGUAGGCGGUUUGUCGCGUCUGCUGUGAAAUCUCAAGGCUCAACCUUGAGCUUGCAGUGGGUACGGGCAGACUAGAGUGUGGUAGGGGAGACUGGAAUUCCUGGUGUAGCGGUGAAAUGCGCAGAUAUCAGGAGGAACACCGAUGGCGAAGGCAGGUCUCUGGGCAUUAACUGACGCUGAGGAGCGAAAGCAUGAGGAGCGAACAGG
rnacentral:rRNA from 1 species